CCUAAAUACUAAUACCAGAUCGAUAGUGCACAAGUACCGUGAGGGAAAGGUGAAAAGAACUGAGGUGAUCAGAGUGAAAUAGAACCUGAAACCAUUUGCUUACAAUCAUUCAGAGCCCUAUGUAGCAAUACAGGGUGAUGGACUGCCUUUUGCAUAAUGAGCCUGCGAGUUGUGGUGUCUGGCAAGGUUAAGCAAACGCGAAGCCGUAGCGAAAGCGAGUCUGAAUAGGGCGCUUAGUCAGAUGCUGCAGACCCGAAACGAAGUGAUCUAUCCAUGAGCAAGUUGAAGCUAGUGUAAGAACUAGUGGAGGACUGAACCCAUAGGCGUUGAAAAGCCCCGGGAUGACUUGUGGAUAGGGGUGAAAGGCCAAUCAAACUUCGUGAUAGCUGGUUCUCUCCGAAAUAUAUUUAGGUAUAGCGUUGUGUCGUAAUAUAAGGGGGUAGAGCACUGAAUGGGCUAGGGCAUACACCAAUGUACCAAACCCUAUCAAACUCCGAAUACCUUAUAUGUAAUCACAGCAGUCAGGCGGCGAGUGAUAAAAUCCGUCGUCAAGAGGGAAACAACCCAGACUACCAGCUAAGGUCCCUAAAUCUUACUUAAGUGGAAAACGAUGUGAAGUUACUUAAACAACCAGGAGGUUGGCUUAGAAGCAGCCAUCCUUUAAAGAAAGCGUAAUAGCUCACUGGUCUAGUGAUUUUGCGCGGAAAAUAUAACGGGGCUAAAGUAA
rnacentral:rRNA from 1 species